GGACCCGCACAAGCAGUGGAGCAUGUGGUUUAAUUCGACGCAACGCGAAGAACCUUACCAGCGUUUGACAUGGAAAGUACCGGUUACAGAAUGGUAACCUUCAGUUCGGCUGGCUUUCACACAGGUGCUGCAUGGCUGUCGUCAGCUCGUGUCGUGAGAUGUUGGUUAAGUCCCGCAACGAGCGCAACCCUUAUCGUUAGUUACUAACAGUUCGGCUGAGGACUCUAGCGAAACUGCCGGUGAUAAGCCGGAGGAAGGUGGGGGAUGACGUCAAGUCCUCAUGGCCCUUACACGCUGGGCUACACACGUGCUACAAUGGUAACUACAACGGGACGCAAUACCGCGAGGUGGAG
rnacentral:rRNA from 1 species